rnacentral:snRNA from 1 species
GUGCUCGCUUCGGCAGCAUGUAUACUAAAAUUGGAACGAUACAGAGAAGAUUAGCAUGGCUCCUGCGCAAGGAUGACACGCAAAAAAAAUAAAUAAAUAAAUAAAUA